rnacentral:rRNA from 1 species
GCUAUCACUCUGGGAUGGACCUGCGGUGCAUUAGCUAGUUGGUAAGGUAACGGCUUACCAAGGCGAUGAUGCAUAGCCGAGUUGAGAGACUGAUCGGCCACAAUGGAACUGAGACACGGUCCAUACUCCUACGGGAGGCAGCAGUAGGGAAUCUUCCACAAUGGGCGCAAGCCUGAUGGAGCAACACCGCGUGAGUGAAGAAGGGUUUCGGCUCGUAAAGCUCUGUUGUUGGAGAAGAACGUGCGUGAGAGUAACUGUUCAUGCAGUGACGGUAUCCAACCAGAAAGUCACGGCUAACUACGUGCCAGCAGCCGCGGUAAUACGUAGGUGGCAAGCGUUAUCCGGAUUUAUUGGGCGUAAAGCGAGCGCAGGCGGUUGCUUAGGUCUGAUGUGAAAGCCUUCGGCUUAACCGAAGAAGUGCAUCGGAAACCGGGCGACUUGAGUGCAGAAGAGGACAGUGGAACUCCAUGUGUAGCGGUGGAAUGCGUAGAUAUAUGGAAGAACACCAGUGGCGAAGGCGGCUGUCUGGUCUGCAACUGACGCUGAGGCUCGAAAGCAUGGGUAGCGAACAGGAUUAGAUACCCUGGUAGUCCAUGCCGUAAACGAUGAGUGCUAGGUGUUGGAGGGUUUCCGCCCUUCAGUGCC